GCCUUCGUAGACCAUGGCGGUCGUCCUCAGUUCGUAGCCGUAACGAAGGAGUUAACGUAAGAGGAAGGCGGGGGUUCGAUUCCCCCCGAAGGCA